CAAGUCGAACGGCAGCACGGGGGCAACCCUGGUGGCGAGUGGCGAACGGGUGAGUAACGCAUCGGAACGUGCCCAGUAGUGGGGGAUAACCAGUCGAAAGAUUGGCUAAUACCGCAUACGACCUACGGGUGAAAGCGGGGGAUCGCAAGACCUCGCGCUACUGGAGCGGCCGAUGUCUGAUUAGCUAGUUGGUGGGGUAAAGGCUCACCAAGGCGACGAUCAGUAGCUGGUCUGAGAGGACGACCAGCCACACUGGGACUGAGACACGGCCCAGACUCCUACGGGAGGCAGCAGUGGGGAAUUUUGGACAAUGGGCGAAAGCCUGAUCCAGCCAUGCCGCGUGCGGGAAGAAGGCCUUCGGGUUGUAAACCGCUUUUGGCAGGAACGAAACGGUGCCGACAAAUACUCGGCGCUAAUGACGGUACCUGCAGAAUAAGCACCGGCUAACUACGUGCCAGCAGCCGCGGUAAUACGUAGGGUGCAAGCGUUAAUCGGAAUUACUGGGCGUAAAGCGUGCGCAGGCGGCUAUGCAAGACAGGUGUGAAAUCCCCGGGCUCAACCUGGGAACUGCAUUUGUGACUGCAUGGCUAGAGUUUGUCAGAGGGGGGUGGAAUUCCACGUGUAGCAGUGAAAUGCGUAGAGAUGUGGAGGAACACCGAUGGCGAAGGCAGCCCCCUGGGACCUGACUGACGCUCAUGCACGAAAGCGUGGGGGAGCAAACAGGAUUAGAUACCCUGGUAGUCCACGCCCUAAACGAUGUCGACUAGUUGUCGGAGAUUCACUUCUUCGGUAACGCAGCUAACGCGUGAAGUCGACCGCCUGGGGAGUACGGUCGCAAGAUUAAAACUCAAAGGAAUUGACGG
rnacentral:rRNA from 1 species